CAGUAGCCGCGGGAAUACAGAGGGUGCAAGCGUUAAUCGGAAUUACUGGGCGUAAAGCGCGCGUAGGUGGUUUGUUAAGUUGGAUGUGAAAUCCCCGGGCUCAACCUGGGAACUGCAUCCAAAACUUGCAAGCUAGAGUAUUGUAGAGGGUGGUGGAAUUUCCUGUGUAGCGGUGAAAUGCGUAGAUAUAGGAAUGAACACCAGUGGCGAAGGCGACCACCUGGACUGAUACUGACACUGAGGUGCGAAAGCGUGGGGAGCAAACAGGAUUAGAUACCCGCGUAGUCCCUGUCUCUUAUAC
rnacentral:rRNA from 1 species